GGAAGCCUACGGGGGGCAGCAGUAGGGAAUCUUCCACAAUGGACGAAAGUCUGAUGGAGCAACGCCGCGUGAGUGAAGAAGGGUUUCGGCUCGUAAAACUCUGUUGGUAGUGAAGAAAGAUAGAGGUAGUAACUGGCCUUUAUUUGACGGUAAUUACUUAGAAAGUCACGGCUAACUACGUGCCAGCAGCCGCGGUAAUACGUAGGUGGCAAACGUUGGCCGGCUUUAUUGGGCGUAA
rnacentral:rRNA from 1 species